UUCAGAGACAUGCUACAAACAAACACACAAAUCUUGUGGCGUUUUGUAAGUGACUAUUGUUAAUAAAAAUGUGUUUAUUUUGCUAAUAUAGCAAAGAUUUGAAUAAAAAUAUUUACGAGUCUUUUUAUUAUUGCCUGUGUAAUAUUACACCUUUGAAAAGGGCAUGAAUACGAGGCACACUGACGCAUAUAUUUAGUGUGGAAACUUUAAUAAUCCUUUUUGUAGCAUAUGCAACAUUUGUUAUGGUCCCCGAAAAUGGGGAGCAUAAAGUCGCUACCUUGUCCUUUCGUUAUUUCUUCCAUCUGUCCGUCUGCACGUCACACUUCUUGUCCGGAGGAUACCUCAAUAAGUAUUUAAUACAAAGCUGUAACUUAAUACAAGAAUAGAUAGUAUUAAGAGAAAGUGCAGUAACAAGGUGGUUCAAUUUUUGAAUUAUCUCCUUUUUUAUUAAAACCUUGUCCAAGGCAUAUUGAGAACGCUAUUCUUCAUAUUAAACAUAUUGACAGGGCUGCCGUAACACUAGAAAUCAUAAAUAUAGGUUAUCCUGUUUUUUUCUCCAGUUAUCUUCUUUUUCGAAAACCUUAUCUAGAGCAUAACUCGAAUACUAUGUAGGAUCUUGACUUCGUAUUUUACAUAUUCAUAGAGGUCAGUGAGAGGGAUUGCAGUGUUUUAGAUAUACUGUUUGAGGCCAUUUUCAAGAUUCCACAAAUGUUCAUAGUCUUUCUACGCAUAUAACUGAUUAAUUAUUUAUCCACAUAGGUAGAAGACGAAUGAUGUACUAUCUUUUUGUAAACCCACAACGCGCCUCGGCAUCGAACGUGCGUCCUUUCUAAUCAUAGAAUUGCGAUCUACCUACGAAACUAACCUAACAGGCUAGGUGUAUGUCUAAUUUUUAAUUUGUUCCCAAUAGUUUAAAUCUAAUACUUAUAUUAGGGAACAACCAUUUUAAAAUACGAAAAAUGUAUAAACAAUUAACAUAACGCUGAAUAAUGAUAUAUAUAUUUUUUUAAUCCGACUAAGCAACAUAGUUCUGCUUUGAAGAUACUCGUAGUCUAUUUUAGCAAACAGUAAUUUAUAGGAAAGAUGAUUGUUCAGCUGAUUGGUUUGAUGUUAAAUAAAACAUUUUCCAUCUGCAACGGUUAUACAUCUACUUAAUUUGUUUUGGGCUGAGUGCCGUUAAUAAACAGUCUUACAGUUUUUCAGUUCUGUUACGACGGACGUUAACCUCGGGCAUUUCACUUAACCAGUGUUUCACGGUUUCGUUCCAAAAUUAAACAGUUCUUUGUUAGUAGCUACCAACCUCCUUUAAAGAAUCACAGGUUGAGGAGGAAACAUGUCAGAUACAAUGUCUGGUUUAAUCAGUCGUGACGAAGAAUAUACACCCAAGGAUCAAACUCACGACCCCGCAAUCCGUACAUCUGCGUUCUCCCUAUUGAGCUAAGCAGGUUGGCUUUAUAACGUUCGUGCAACAGUGGAGUUACAACUACACACGUUUAUGGAUUCUUUACCAGUAGUAACUUGUUUUCUGCAUGCAAGUGACAUUUUCAUCAAAUGUUUAAAAAAUGUACAUUAUCACCAAUUCUAAUAUACUUGUCUCUGCUAAAACACACUUACGCUAGAAUGACGUCACGUUAACGUGCGGUGACAUCAAAGCUUUUGUUGCGACCAAGAAAUAGCGCUUCUAUAUCUAUAAAGGACAUAUUAGAAUCGAAAUAAUUUAUAGCAAAAGAUUGUUUCAUCACUAUUUAUACACUCGGGCGGUAAUACGUCGUACAAAUAUUUUCACUCGGGCCGCGCCCUCUUGCAAUUAUUACGCCCGACGUAUAACCGCCCAUCGUGCAUAAAUAUUGUUAAAACACUCUUUUGCUAUAUUCAAUUUCUUAAAUACGGGAUAGAAGCAAUUACGUUUGGUAAAGAUCAUGAUUAUGACGUAAUUCAUUAAAUCGAUUAGUGUGAUAAUAUUCAUAAAUGUUUCACAUUCGGUAUGCCAAAAUCUCCGACUGCUCUUCUUGGUUUGUACAUCAUAUACCGAGCCUCGUUAUCGGUAUGCAUCGCCAACUGCCAACCGUUGAAACUAAAACUGUUUUAUUUGAUUAAACACCUAUUUUUACGUAAAGCAUAUUCAAUGGCGUUUUACAAAUACAUAAAAAUACGUCAAAAAUUAAAACAUUUUAAAUGACAUAUGACAUAAAUAAGCAUAAAUAUCAUUGGUAAUAAACUAUUUAGUAAGCAUUAAACAAAAGGCAUCAAAUAAGAUUAAUAAAAUAUUAGAAUAUUAAGAUAGAGUAAGACAGCUGUGUUGUUAUUAAGUAAGAAUAAGUGGGUUAUUGCGACAUGUCCAUAAGUUAUUACAAACAACUGUAUUUUUGUAUUUGUGAUAAAAUAGUUCAUAUUCGAAUGUAUUUACACAAUAAAAUCAUACAGAUCAAGUUACUUCAAUAUCUUAAAAAUCACAGUCACAGUCUCUAAAAGUGUGCAAAGUAAUUUCCAAAAUAAUGAGUUUUCAACUUCUUUUUGAAAGCAUCUAUUUUGUCUGAGUUCUUUAUUUCGAGAGGCAAUUUAUUCCAGAGUUUAGGUCCAAACGUACCUAAACUUCUGUCGCUUAACGUUUUGCGCUUUUGGAAAGGAACAACGAAACACCCAGUAACGGAAUUUGAAGAACGCAAGUUCUUUGUCUGUGUUUGUUUAAUGAGAAGUUCAGAAAGAUAUUCUAGAGAGUUUCCAACUGAACAAUUAUACAUGUAGGUGAGCAUUUUGAAUGUGAUUCUGGCUUUGAUGGGUAGCCAGUGAAGAUCAUAGAGCGUUUGCUCGGAACUGUCAUAUUUUCUUCGAUUUAGGACAGGUUUUGUACACAUGUUCUAAAUUCGUUGCAUUUUGUUUACUUCGCUUUGAGCAAUACCAUACAGAAUGAUAUUACAAUAAUCUAAAUGGGAUAUCAUCAAUGACAGCACAAGGGUUUCGGUAGCCUCUUUGGUAAGAUAUUUCCGGAUAUAUUUUAUUCUGAAGUAGUUGAGCAUUGUUGUUCUAUACUUUCGUUUUAUAUGCUCUUUUAGAUUCAAGUUUUCAUCAAGGUAUGCACCUAGAUAUCGAAUAAAGCUCACUGAUUUCACUUCAUCACCUACAAUGCAUAUUUUGUCAGUUACACACUUAGAGAGCUGUUGCCUACUUCCAAACAUGAUGAACUCGGUUUUGGAAGUGUUCAUUUUGAGCUUAUUUUCAUUCAUCCACUUUUUGAUUGUUUUAGCACAUUGUAGUACUAACCUGAGCCCGUGCAAAUCUUAGAGCCUUCGAGGUUCGAUAUUCUCGCAUUACACGGAUCCAGGUAGUAUAGCGAUGCAUACCUCCACAAUGGGGUCGGUAUAUAUUGCCUUUUGAUGUGUAUAUAGGCUUUGUAGAUGAUCAUUAUGUCAUUUUUAUACCUUACUUGUAGUAAAAACCACAUGCUGUUGUGUCAGAAUUUUCUGGUCUUAAGGAAUGUUAAGUUCAAUGCAUAUUGUUCUUUUUAUCAUUGACAAAUAUAUACACAUUGCUAGAGAGACUAAUCAUAUAAAGUCUUUUAUCAGUGGUUGGGCAAGAUGUACCAGACAGAAGUCGUACACAUGCACCGCUACAAGGUGUUGUCGUGGAUGGAUGGGGUCCGAUUGUGACACUCGUAUGUUUCUUUGUUAUUCAUGAUUUAAACUUCUAAAUCUUUAUUUCCAUGACACGUUUUUCUUCGAAUAAGUAAUGCAUUUAUUUCUAAAAAUGAUAACAUCUAAUAACUCAUCUCAAAGGUCUUUUAAUGCAAAAUAUUUGUGUGUGUGUGUGUGUUCGGGUUUAACGUCUUUUUCAACAAUUUUUCAGUCAUAUUAACGACGGUGUCUACUUAUAGCAGUGAGCACAAUGCCCAACUUUAUAGUGCUGCCUCACUGGAAUAUCACGCCGUAGACAAGUGACAUAAUAUACCAGUCACAUUAUACUGACACAGGACUGACCAGUCCUAGCUCUAUCCCCUUAAUGCUGAGCGCCAAGCGAGGAAGCUACUAGUACAACUUUUACGUCUUUCGUAUGACGAUGCCGGGGAUUGAAGCCACGACCUCCCGCACUCAAAGCGGACGCUCUACCACUAGGCUACCGAGGCGGUAACAGAUGUUAUACGGCAUUAAUGCAGAAACGGGGCCUGGUAUAUUGAGGCUAUGUUCGUUUACAAUCCGCAGUUCUACAUUUUUGCUAAAAUUUGCAUACUUGUGUUGCCUGAAGAUCUAUAGAUCCAAAUUUACUUUACUUCCAGAAGCGUGUUCUUAAGCGAAAAUAUUCUCCAUAGCCUUAUUCUCUAGAAUAUAUUUUCAUGUUGUCUGGACCCUAGAUUUACAUCGAUGCCGAUACAGGCUUAUUGUAGACGUAUUUUCCAUAUUUCUUUAAAAAUCUUUGAAUUACUUUGUGUUGACACAUUAAAAUAAAAACUUGCAAUUUAUAUCCUCACAGCGAUUUGUUCGGCAUCGUGUAACAACGGCGGCACCUGCAUAAGCCCAGACACAUGUAGAUGUCCAUCGUCGCAUUCAGGAGCACAAUGUCAGACAUCACUGUGCUCAUACAAAUUACCCUGUUUCCCCGGCAAAUGCAGCUAUCCUCAUAACUGUGAGUGUUCCGAAGGAUUCAGCGACCCAAGCUCAGGAUGUUUAACGUUUUCAGUGCUCAACAGUUUGCCACAAAUUGCUGAAUGUGAAACAACGUUGGCCAGAUUUAGAAGAUCAGACCAAAAGGAGUUAUUGUAUUACAACACCCCCUGUUCUGGCAGCGCUAGUAAAGACACGUUUUGGUCAAAACAACAGUUGUUUAAUUAUGCAAAUUUUUCAAUGCGGUCGCUUUAUCCAGCUUUAGCAGACAACGUAACAGCACCGAACUAUAUUUCGUCUUUUUCGUUUGGAAUUGUCUAUAGUGCAGUUAGUGUUGUACACACUAAGCACCCAAGG